rnacentral:rRNA from 1 species
AGAGUUUGAUCCUGGCUCAGGAUGAACGCUGGCGGCGCGCCUAACACAUGCAAGUCGAACGGCACCCACCCCCGGGUGGAAGCGAGUGGCGAACGGCUGAGUAACACGUGGAGAACCCGCCCCCCUCUCGGGGAUAGCCGCCGGAAACGGCGGGUAACACCCGAUGACCCCGCAGCGAGGCAUCUCGCAGCGGGCAAAACUCCGGUGGAGGGGGAUGGCUCCGCGGCCCAUCAGGUAGACGGCGGGGUGACGGCCCACCGUGCCGACAACGGGUAGCCGGGUUGAGAGACCGACCGGCCAGAUUGGGACUGAGACACGGCCCAGACUCCUACGGGAGGCAGCAGUGGGGAAUCUUGCGCAAUGGGGGCAACCCUGACGCAGCGACGCCGCGUGCGGGACGGAGGCCUUCGGGUCGUAAACCGCUUUCAGCAGGGACGAGGAAAGACUGUACCUGCAGAAGAAGCCCCGGCUAACUACGUGCCAGCAGCCGCGGU